UGUGUAUGUGUGUGUGUGUGUGUGUGUGUGUGUGUGUGUGUGUGUGUACAUCUAUAUCUAUAUCUAUAUAUGUUGAUUUCCUAAAAGAGGAAAAGUACCUUUUUGUUCAACUUGUAUCAAUUCCUGUUUUCUAAUUGCUGUGAAAUGGCAACUGUUGAUAAAUUAUUGUGACUGUUUUAAAAUGUAAUGGGGAGGAUAUAUUUUGAUUUUACCCAGCUUUAAUCUGUAAAGUAUCACGUAAAUAUAUCUGAUAGCAACACUUAAGAUAUUGCAUGGGAAUUACUUUUCUAUCAUCCUUUCUCAUUUAUGCAACUUUGAACAUAUUGGGUGCUUCUGAAUUCCUGAUGAUUGGAUUUAAAUUAUUGAAAAAUCAGAGAAUUUGAACUUAUGGACUUUUAAAUUUUAAAUUUUAUUUUCUAUUCUUAAAAUUUAGUUAAUGCCUACAAUUUGAAAUCUACUGUUUCUCUUUCUCAAUAUGUGUUCUAUUGGAAAUUGCUAAAAUUGUUAGUGCCAUCAGUGAUUUACAAACAGUAUUUUGAUAUUACAAAUGAUUUGCUCAUUGUAUUUGCAUAGCUAGAAAGAAAAUAGUUUGUAGACGAUGAUUCUCUCUUUUUCUAAUAAAAUGAAAUAAAAAAUUCUGAAAGCACUAGCGAAUUUAACUAAAGGCUGGUUCCCAAAUGCAUAGCUGGUGUUCUAAUUUAUAUUCAAAUGCUACAUAGAGAACAUCUGUGUAAACCACCUCUCUGGUUUUUCCCAGUGAUCAUUCUCAAACACACCUAUGGUCCUAGAAUCUUUUAUUAUGAGAGGCAUCCGGUACUGUGUAACCUUUUAUGAAGCCUGUCUUUAAGAGGCCCAGGUGCUUCUAAUUUAUGAUUUGAAGCUUGCCUCUUUAUAAAUUAAUGCUAUUUACUUUGAGAGGAAGCAGGACAAUUGCUGUUAAAAUUUUGCAUCCAUUUACCCUAUGCAAAAUUGCUGUCUGAUGCCAGCGAAACUGCUGCUCAGGCAGCCUUUUGAAGGGAAAAGCCACCCUGUUUCAGAUGCGCUGCCAAUUCAGCUCCUCUGGAGUAGAGCUUACUUUCUGAUUUCCUGGAGUGGGAAUUUUAGAGAUUGAAAUGGGUUGAUCAGUUAGUCAGCUUUAUCCUAUAAUUUAAGUUCAUGCAGCUUUGUGAUCUUUGCAGUGCUAUUUAUAAAAGGACCCUGAUGGCGAUGACCUCUUUAAAACACAUGACUGGUAAGCCUAUGAUUUAGACACACCGAUGUCUUAGCUGCUGUAGCUUUCUAUUGAGUCAGGUAUGUGAGCAUCUCUAAAGGAGUGUCAAAUGUAAUUUUGAGAAACAUGGAUUGCAUAUUUUGAUUUUGAGUUUAUAAAUACACAGACAGCUAAACAGUGCCUUUCCCCUCUCACAGUCCGUGUUGGAAGAUGCUCACUCCAUGCUUCUGUCUCUGCUUUCCUCCCUUCCCUCCUCCCACCCCCAUUCAGCUGAUUCAUUUAUGCAAUACUGUUUCCAACUUGAAACCAUUUUGUCACAUCUGUUGGAGAGAUAAUCGCUCCUGUUCCUUAACAUUCUGCCAGCUUUCUGUUGUUAAAGUGUUUCAGUUGAUUACCUGAUGCAAAAGCUAUAAAAUAAAUACUCAGUGGGAAGGGGAGAACUGUUUUGGUGUCCUGUUUUAAUAUUUUCUUCUGUAGCCAUAAUGCUGAUGGACAUUUUCCAAGUGGACUCAGUGUUCAGUGUCAUCAACUGAACUCUCAGAUAUCGUUGCCACCGGAAAGGUGCUUGCAGUCUGGCAAUGUGAAGAGAGACAGAGGUUAUUCUACUGUAGUGGAGCCAUUUUUGUCCUCUCUUUUUCAUCUAGAAGAUGAGGGGGAAUAAAUCCAGGUGGUGACUGAUUUGCAGCAUGAUAGAUGUAAUUUGUGUCAUGCAGCAGUUAUCUCCAAACCCAUUAACCAGCUGUGGAAUGGUGCAGCGCUGAGCCCUAGGACUUCAGAGAGGAGAAGUCAUGAUUCCUACCCUUGGAAGGCUCUCAUUUCUGCGGGGGGGGACAGGGCCUCGGAGAGUGUUCCAGGAACGAACUUUCCGCAGUAUGAUGACCUGCAAAAGCAGCCCUUCCAUUUACAUUUCAAACUCCAAGUCAGCCGUGUCAAAGUUUGAACCAGGGCUGUGGAGGAUAAUGGGUCAAAUGCAAUUAGUAGCCCGGAGAGCUGCGCGUUGCAGUCUGAUUUAUUUUUUUGCCCAUCAGAUUCCAAGAAUCCUAGUGCUUAAAAGCAACUAAACAAUCACUCUAUUGUUCUGAAAUAAAGCCCAGUUAAUUCAAAAAUCAAUUGCACCACCAGGUGGGGCACACUCUGGCCCCAAACAGAUGGGGUCGAAAACUCCCCCAAAAUUCAGUCUUGUUAAAUUAAAAACUUGAUCCAGGAGUGGAACAAAUAAGGAGCCAUGAAUGGAAUGGAGUCAGGUCCACUCAGGCGAAUUCUUUCUUCUCCCACUCCUUUUCCUUCCUUUAAAAAAGAAAAAAUCACCAUUCCACUUUCAUCAGUGUUAGCAUCUCCACAGAAAUGCAGCCAUCCACCCUGUUCAGUUCAAUGUGUUACUUUAAUUAGUCUGAAAAUUAAAGGGCAACUCUGGGCCAAUGUGAAUGAUUAUGAAAAUACAUGUGC